rnacentral:tRNA from 1 species
GUGGUCGUAGCUUAACUGGUUAAAGCGCCUCGCUGUGGCCGAGGAGACUGCCGGUUCAAAUCCGGUCGAUCACC